rnacentral:rRNA from 1 species
AGCUCCAAUAGCGUAUAUUAAAGUUGUUGCGGUUAAAAAGCUCGUAGUUGGAUUUUGGGUUCACUUCCGGCGGGCCGGUGCAAGCCGCGAACUGCUAGAAUGGACCUUCUGUCUGGAACGUGGUCGCUUCCUAUUCGCUUAGUGGCGGCCGCUGUCUAGGACUUUUACUUUGAACAAAUUGGAGUGUUUAAAGCAGGCAAACGUCUUGAACACAUUAGCAUGGAAUAACCGAAUAGGGCUUUGGCUCUAUUUUGUUGGUUUUAAGGGCCGAAGUAAUGAUUAAUAGGGACAGUUGGGGGCAUUCGUAUUUAAUUGUCAGAGGUGAAAUUCUUAGAUUUAUGAAAGACGAACUUCUGCGAAAGCAUUUGCCAAGGAUGUUUUCA